CACGUAGGCGGACUUUUAAGUCAGGGGUGAAAUCCCCGAGCUCAACUUGGGAACUGCGUUUGAAACUGCAAGACUAGAAUAUGUCAGAGGGGGGUAGAAUUCCACGUGUAGCAGUGAAAUGCGUAGAGAUGUGGAGGAAUACCAAUGGCGAAGGCAGCCCCCUGGGAUAAUAUUGACGCUCAUGCACGAAAGCGUGGGGAGCAAACAGGAUUAGAUACCCCAGUA
rnacentral:rRNA from 1 species